ACAUGCAUUACUGGGCAAUACUCUUCUGGCAGAAGCUAUAAAAGAACAUCUGCAUGCAAGCUAAUUAGCAAAAUAAUUAUAUUGAAUUAUUUGCAGCAUGCAGAAAUACAUAAGCUACUACUGCCAAAGGAGAUUUGCCCGGCAAUCCAUCU
rnacentral:pre_miRNA from 1 species